rnacentral:pre_miRNA from 1 species
GUCCACGAUCGUGUCGAUAAUGUCCACGAUUUUUUGGUUCGAAUCUUCAAAAAUCAUGGACAUAGGGAAUAUUCGAACCAAAAAAUCGUGGACAUUACCGACACGAUCGUGGACAUUG